UACGUAGGCAGCAAGCGUUGUUCGGAAUUACUGGGCGUAAAGAGUGUGUAGGCGGUGCUCUAAGUUUGGUGUGAAAUCUCCCGGCUCAACUGGGAGGGUGCGCCGAAUACUGAGUGACUCGAGUGCGGGAGAGGAAAGUGGAAUUCCUGGUGUAGCGGUGAAAUGCGUAGAUAUCAGGAGGAACACCGGUGGUGUAGACGGCUUUCUGGACCGUAACUGACGCUGAAACACGAAAGCGUGGGUAGCAAACAGG
rnacentral:rRNA from 1 species